CUUUCCUAUUUGGUUUGUAUAGUUUAUUUUGUUUUUUAUCUUUUAUUUUCUUUGGUUUUUGUGUUUUAGUUGUUUGUUGCUCAAUUUUGUUGGGUUUUUUUAUGAACGAUCGUGUUGAUUGUUGGUGAGGAAGAUGGCCGGUAAGGUGAAUCUUGUUGUUGCACUUCUGGUUAUCCUGGGGUUGUUUGCUCUCGGCUAGCGGUGUUGCAGUUCUGGUUUGUCAGCAAUCUUGUCGAUGAACGGUGGAUGGUCUUUGCACAGCAUCUGAAUUGCACAUGGGCUUGUUGGGCUUUCUGCUUGCAAGCUCUUUUCCCAUGUGGAUUAGACCAUCUGUUUAUUUAUUUGUUUUUAUGAAUUAUAUACUGUAUCCCAUUGAACUUUUUAAUGUAAUUACAUAUGCAUGAUAAAAAAAAAUUAUCACUUUUAA